GCGACCCCAGGUCAGGCGGGGCCACCCGC
rnacentral:rRNA from 3 species